rnacentral:miRNA from 1 species
UCAGAUCAUCUUGCAGCUUCA